rnacentral:rRNA from 1 species
AGAAUCAUGCACAAUGGACGAAAGUCUGAUGCUGCAACGCCGCGUGGAGGAUGAAGGCCCUAGGGUCGUAAACUCCUGUCAUCAAAGAGUAUGGGGGUGUUGGUUAAUAACUAAUGCUCUUGAUAGUAUUUGACGAGGAAGGGACGGCUAACUUCGUGCAAGCAGCCGCGGUAAUACGAAGGUCCCGAGCGUUAUUCGGAAUCACUGGGCGUAAAGAGUAUGUAGGCGGCGUGGAAAGUCAGGUGUGAAAGCCCGGGGCUCAACCCCGGAACGGCACCCGAUACUCCCACGCUAGAGUAAUGGAGGGGAGUCUGGAAUUCACGGUGUAGCAGUGAAAUGCGUGGAUAUCGUGAGGAACACUAGUGGCGAAGGCGAGACUCUGGACAUUUACUGACGCUGAGAUACGAAGGCUAGGGUAGCGAAC